GGCUCGUUGGUCUAUGGGUAUGAUUCUCGCUUUGGGUGCGAGAGGUCCCUGUUUCGAAUCCCGGACGAGCCC
rnacentral:tRNA from 1 species